rnacentral:rRNA from 1 species
AUACGUAGGGGGCGAGCGUUGUCCGGAAUGAUUGGGCGUAAAGGGCGCGUAGGCGGCCCGGUAAGUCUGGAGUGAAAGUCCUGUUUUUAAGAUGGGAAUUGCUUUGGAUACUGUCGGGCUUGAGUGCAGGAGAGGUAAGUGGAAUUCCCAGUGUAGCGGUGAAAUGCGUAGAGAUUGGGAGGAACACCAGUGGCGAAGGCGACUUACUGGACUGUAACUGACGCUGAGGCGCGAAAGUGUGGGGAGCAAACAGGAUUAGAUACCCUGGUAGUCCACACUGUAAACGAUGAAUGCUAGGUGUAGGGGGUAUCGACCCCUUCUGUGCCGCAGUCAACACAAUAAGUAUUCCGCCUGGGGAGUACGGCCGCAAGGUUGAAACUCAAAGGAAUUGACGGGG